rnacentral:rRNA from 1 species
ACGCUAGCGGCAGGCUUAAUACAUGCAAGACGAACGGUAAGUAGUGUAGCAAUACAUUGCCUAGAGUGUCGUACGGGUGCGUAACACGUAUGCAACCUACCCAAAACAGGAGUAUAGCUCGGGGAAACUCGAAUUAACCCUCCAUAAGAUCGUGAAGUGGCAUCACUUAGCGCUUAAAACUGAGGUGGUUUUGGAUGGGCAUGCGUCUGAUUAGCUAGUUGGCGGGGUAAUGGCCCACCAAGGCGAUGAUCAGUAGGGGAACUGAGAGGUUGAUCCCCCACACUGGCACUGAGAUACGGGCCAGACUCCUACGGGAGGCAGCAGUAGGGAAUAUUGGUCAAUGGGUGAGAGUCUGAACCAGCCAUGCCGCGUGCAGGAAGAAGGCCUUCUGGGUUGUAAACUGCUUUUGCCAGGGGAUAAAACGGUCGUGCGCGACUAAUUGAAGGUACCUGGUGAAUAAGCCACGGCUAACUACGUGCCAGCAGCCGCGGUAAUACGUAGGUGGCAAGCGUUGUCCGGAUUUAUUGGGUUUAAAGGGUGCGUAGGCGGCCCUGUAAGUCAGUGCUGAAAUCCCCCGGCUUAACCGGGGUGGUGGCAUUGAUACUGCAGGGCUUGAGUACAGAUGAGGUAGGCGGAAUUGACGGUGUAGCGGUGAAAUGCAUAGAUAUCGUCAAGAACACCGAUAGCGAAGGCAGCUUACUGGGCUGUAACUGACGCUGAUGCACGAAAGUGUGGGGA